rnacentral:lncRNA from 1 species
GCACCUGAUAGUUCAAAAUGGAAAGUUAUAAGUAACGGUCGUGUACACUGAUCAAUACCUACAGAAGUGAAACGAUGCAUGAACUUGCAAGCCCGCCGGACAGGAAAUCGAUUGAAUACCUGGACGUGUCACCUUACACCCCUUCCAAUACCUUUGGGAGUAAUACCUUUAGCCAUGCUGGUGAUCCGAUGAGGGAAGAUCCGAAUUUAUUUAAAUAAAGUUUAUUACUUGAAAGAAUUAUGAACGAAUUAGAUUUUCGAAAACAAUUUCCACGGAACACUUAUUUAUGAUUUGAACUUUGACUUUUUAACUAAUUACAAUAUUAACAGUUUAAAAAUAACAGACUAUAUGGUUAUUUAAAAAUAUAAGACCAUUUUCCGUAUCAAGUUAGUCAGUCAGAUAAAACAACCGUACGAUUGACAAGAUAUCGACACGCAAUUACGACUACAUCGUUUACUGUAGUUUUGUUCCUUUGUGGUUUAUAGACAUAUCGGGAUUUUUCAUCGGAGAAGGUGACAAGAUGGCGGAGAGCAGAGAACUGAUACUCAAAAUUUAAAAUCGAUGGUGAUCUCUUAUUUAGCGGAAUAAAACUUUAAUAUCUAUAAAUUUGAGCAUUUUUAUACAGAAUGGACAUAAUAUCAAUUUUUGAUUUUUUUGCGAAGUUUCCCUUUAAUGCCAAA